AAGGGCCUGCCCUGUUCGUGAUAACAAUGUUGUUUUGUGCUAAACAUGAAUUAUAGGGUGUUCAAUUGAGUAUGGCAUGAAUGCCUUCAUUGCAGAAGGACUCAUAAAGUAUUUAUAGAAUUCCCAGUUUUUGGUCUAUAGUUCAAACGAAUUGAUACACGGCAAGGACAGGUCUUUU
rnacentral:other from 1 species